CGGGGCUGCUGGAGGGGCUCCCAGGGCUAGUUCCGGGGCGGGGCCGGGAGGAGGGAGGGUGCGGAGCCAGGAGGCGGUCAGGACCCGGGGCAGCUCCCUUGGCCCGGCGGGGCGGGCCGGGCCCCGCCCGGCGGGGAACCGGGGACUCCCCCGAGGAGAGACUGGACACCUCACCGAUGGAUGGGCCAGGAUCAAUGAGAGUCAGCCCUAGGGAGCGUCAGGGGACUGCACCUGUCACCGAAGAUCGGGACGGGAGGCUCUGGAACUGGAAGGUCCUGACAGGAUAUGGAUUAACAUUACCUGGAAGCAGAAUGGGGAGGCAACAGUGAGGCCAGCUGCACGAAUUUGGAAACAGGGAGCUAAGUGCUGUCUGAGCUGGAAAAUCUGAGCUAGAAAAUGAGCAUAAAAAGCACCAGGUCACUUGAAAGGAGCAGAAAGACUCAGGCCACUGAGACGGACUGAAGCCUGAAUAAAAAUAUUAACUCAUUCAAACAACCGCUGAGGAACCACAGAGCCCUGAGGAGUGGCAGGUGUCUACACUGGCUAAGUGCAGCUCAGGUGAGGAACGGGUAGUGUGAUUUGUGGAAAGAGAUGUGUCUGACUACUUUGACACCAUUGAACAUUCUAGUCGCGGUCACAUGCUCGCCAAGGGACCCUCUCGCAGCCCUCCUUGGCUUCUCCCAUAGCCUGCCCCACAGGGAGGAUGAAACUUCCUGUUGGAGGGUGACAGUAAUGGCUCCCUUUGGGAGUUGUUUCUCUUCCUUCACCAAAAUAUUUAAAAACACCAAUUUUGGAACCAGCUUCCAAUUCCAGCACGGUGUCCCCUCUCUUCAGCAGCCACCGAGGAGCCGCUGAACCAUUUUCAUAAGAGAACCAUUAUGAAGCUUUUCUUCAGAGCUUCCUUCGAGGUAGCUAAGGCCCCGCUGGGUGAGCGUGCAGCUCUAUCCCAUGACUAGCUCGCGUCGGCAGCGCCGCGCCAGGGCCUCGGGCGAGAACUCACCGCAUGCGGUCGGCUAUAUUUCUGCAUGGCCGUGGUGAGGGGAUGGUCGCUGCCGUUCCUGCUGAGGAGAAAGUGGACGCAAAGAAGAAUCUGAGGAAUCCCAUGAUGAUGUGCACUUUGGUCCGUCUAACUAACACCCCCUUGCCCCGGCCCUGUACACUGUUCAGUAAAAACUGAAGUCUUAAAGAAAAAAAGAAAGAAAAGAAAGAAAGAAAGGAAGGAAAGGAAAGGAACGGGAAAAGGAAAGGAAAGGAAAGAAAAAAGGAAAAGAAAGGGAAAGUUCUGGCUCUGCCGCUUCCAAACUGAUGACCUUGGGCCUGUGACUGGACCUUCUUGUGCCUCCGUUUCCUCAUCCGUAAAAUGGAGACAUGAAGGGUACAAUGGAGACAUGAAGGGUACGUGCCUCCUACUAGUGAGGACUCAUGAGUCCAGCCUGUGAGAACUCGCAGUGCCGGGCAAGCAGUUGGCGCUGUGUCUGCUGUGGUGCUUGUAGAAGAUGACACACUUGGCACCCUGGCUCAUCCAGCUCGCGCUCUGGGGGCCUAGACUCUGAGACGCUGGUGCCCCUGAGGCACUGUCCUACUCUCUCCGUGCUGGUAGGGUCAGGUUCCUGAGCCUGCACCUGGAGAGGAAGACGUUCAGCUAUGGUGACUUCUCCUAAGAGCCAGAUUUCCUAGCUGCAAAUGGGUGCUAAAAAGUCCCAACAGAAAGAUGGAGGAACAAAAGGUGACUCCAACUGCAAUGCCAAAAGAAUAAAGAGCCACUGCUUUUGUCCACCAAUCCAUCAUCCACUCUGGGGAAAGCCAGCUGCCAUAUUUUGAAUAGCCCUAUGGAGACAGCUUACAACAGACAACUUAGUGAGAAAUGGAGGUCUCCAGAUAACAACCUGAGAAAAACUGAGGCUCAGCCAGAAAAUAAUAGAAAGGAAAGACUGCAGAGGGACUUGGUGCCAGAAGGCUUCAGAGACAGCUGUCCCUGCAGCACGUGGAUCCCUCCUUCCCCAGGCGUGACUGCCUUUCCUGGCAGGUACUCCAAGCCACCAACGGAACAAAGAAGAAACAAAGGUAUAAUGAGCAAGCUUCUUCCACUAUACACUACAGACAAUAGGUGCAAUAUUUUGAAAAAAAGAAAAGAAAUCUGUCUCAUUAGUUAACUCUUUUAGACCAUUUGCUGCUAUGUACAGGAAGGCGUGGGGUUUGAGGUGAUGGCAGCAACCUCACAUCGGCAGCUGUGGGUCCUCAUGUCGUCCCUUCCCCAUAGUGACCAGGCCAGAGUCUGCUUAGGUUUUGCACCUAGGCCCACCUUUUAGUCCCUCCCUGAUCUCUUUGCCACUACAGAGCCCAAACUUGCCUAUGCCUGGUCAAGUCCCAGCGACACAGCAGAACUGUGGCUGUGAGAGGAGAGCCCUGCCUUCCUCCUCCUGCUCCUCAACCAGGGCCGGCCCAUUACUUAGCAAUGGCUCUAUUUUUGUCGUGCUCAUUAUGCUGCAGCACUGUUCAU